rnacentral:rRNA from 1 species
AUUGAACGCUGGCGGCAUGCUUUACACAUGCAAGUCGAACGGCAGCGCGGGCUUCGGCCUGGCGGCGAGUGGCGAACGGGUGAGUAAUACAUCGGAACGUGCCCAGUAGUGGGGGAUAGCUCGGCGAAAGCCGGAUUAAUACCGCAUACGACCUGAGGGUGAAAGCGGGGGAUCUUCGGACCUCGCGCUAUUGGAGCGGCCGAUGGCAGAUUAGCUAGUUGGUGGGGUAAAGGCCUACCAAGGCGACGAUCUGUAGCUGGUCUGAGAGGACGACCAGCCACACUGGGACUGAGACACGGCCCAGACUCCUACGGGAGGCAGCAGUGGGGAAUUUUGGACAAUGGGCGAAAGCCUGAUCCAGCAAUGCUGCGUGUGUGAUGAAGGCCUUCGGGUUGUAAAGCACUUUUGGCGGGAACGAAAAGGACUGUGCCAAUACCACGGUUCGAUGACGGUACCCGCAGAAUAAGCACCGGCUAACUACGUG